rnacentral:rRNA from 1 species
AGGACAAACGCUGGCGGGGUGCAUGAGACAUGCAAGUCGAACGAGGCACUGUUGAGCUUGCUCGACGGUGUCCUAGUGGCGGACGGCUGAGUAACGCGUAGGUGACCUACCCGGAAGUGGGGAAUAACUGCCCGAAAGGGUGGCUAAUACCGCAUGUGGUCGACGAUUCGAUUCGUCGUCCAAAGGAGCAAUUCGCUUCCGGAGGGGCCUGCGUCCGAUUAGCUAGUUGGUGGGUAACGGCUUACCAAGGCGACGAUCGGUAGCUGGUCUGAGAGGAUGAUCAGCCAGACUGGGACUGAGACACGGCCCAGACUCCUACGGGAGGCAGCAGUCGGGAAUUUUGCCCAAUGAGCGAAAGCUUGAGGCAGCAACUCCGCGUGAGGGAUGAAGGCUCUAGGGUCGUAAACCUCUUUUCUCAGGGAAGAUACAAGACGGUACCUGAGGAAUAAGCGACGGCUAACUACGUGCCAGCAGCCGC